UUAACUGAAACCAAAAAGAGGUAUAUUACUGUUAAUAAUAUUAUUGAAAAUUAUUCCAGUUAAA
rnacentral:tRNA from 2 species